GGAAUUGUGGCUCAGUGGUAAAGCGCUCACCUAGCAUGUGUGGGAUGCUGGGUUCAAUCCUUAGCACCA
rnacentral:tRNA from 1 species